rnacentral:rRNA from 1 species
UACGGGAGGCAGCAGUGGGGAAUAUUGCACAAUGGGCGCAAGCCUGAUGCAGCCAUGCCGCGUGUAUGAAGAAGGCCUUCGGGCUGUAAAGUACUUUCAGUCGUGAGGAAGGUGUUAAGGUUAAUAACCUUAGCAAUUGACGUUAGCGACAGAAGAAGCACCGGCUAACUCCGUGCCAGCAGCCGCGGUAAUACGGAGGGUGCGAGCGUUAAUCGGAAUUACUGGGCGUAAAGGGCACGCAGGCGGUUAAUUAAGUUGGAUGUGAAAUCCCCGGGCUUAACCUGGGAAUGGCAUUCAAGACUGGUUAGCUAGAGUCUUGUAGAGGGGGUAGAAUUCCAUGUGUAGCGGUGAAAUGCGUAGAGAUGUGGAGGAAUACCGGUGGCGAAGGCGGCCCCUGGACAAAGACUGACGCUCAUGUGCGAAAGCGUGGGGAGCAAACAGGAUUAGAUACC